rnacentral:rRNA from 1 species
AGCGAGAAAGUGACUUCGGUCACGAGUAGAGCGGCGGACGGGUGAGUAAUGCGUGGAUAAUCUACCCUUAAGUCUGGGAUAACUUCGGGAAACUGAAGCUAAUACCGGAUAUGACCACGCCAUUUGCGAAUGAAGUGGUGAAAGGUGGCUAGCUUGCUAGCUAUCACUUAGGGAUGAGUCCACGUCCCAUCAGGUUGUUGGUGAGGUAAAUGCUCACCAAGCCUAAGACGGGUAGCCGACCUUAGCGGGUGAACGGCCACACGGGGACUGAGACACGGCCCCGACUCCUACGGGAGGCAGCAGUGGGGAAUAUUGGGCAAUGGGCGAAAGCCUGACCCAGCGAUACCGCGUGAGGGAUGAAGGCUUUCGAGUUGUAAACCUCUGUCAAGAGGGAAGAUGGGUCUGUAAGCUAAUACCUUACAGACUUGACGGUACCUCUGAAGGAAGCCCCGGCUAACUCCGUGCCAGCAGCCGCGGUAAUACGGAGGGGGCAAGCGUUGCUCGGAAUUACUGGGCGUAAAGGGUCCGCAGGUGGUUUUGUAAGUUAGAUGUGAAAGCUC